rnacentral:rRNA from 1 species
GAAAUCGAGUCUUAAUAGGGCGUUUAGUUGCUGGGUAUAGACCCGAAACCAGGCGAUCUAUCCAUGAGCAGGUUGAAGGUUGGGUAACACUAACUGGAGGACCGAACCCACUGUCGUUGAAAAGCCAGGGGAUGACUUGUGGAUAGGGGUGAAAGGCUAAUCAAGCCUGGUGAUAGCUGGUUCUCCCCGAAAGCUAUUUAGGUAGCGCCUCGGACGAAUACCAUAGGGGGUAGAGCACUGUUUCGGCUAGGGGGUCAUCCCGACUUACCAAACCGAUGCAAACUCCGAAUACCUAUGAGUACUAUCCGGGAGACAGACUGCGGGUGCUAACGUCCGUAGUCAAGAGGAAAACAAUCCAGACCGCCAGCUAAGGCCCCAAAAUCAUAGUUAAGUGGGAAACGAUGUGGGAAGGCAUAGACAGCUAGGAGGUUGGCUUAGAAGCAGCCACCCUUUAAAGAAAGCGUAAUAGCUCACUAGUCGAGUCGGCCUGCGCGGAAGAUGUAACGGGGCUAAAACUAUGUGCCGAAGCUGCGGAUGUAUACUUUGUAUACGUGGUAGGGGAGCGUUCUGUAAGCCGAUGAAGGUGUGUUGAGAAGCAUGCUGGAGGUAUCAGAAGUGCGAAUGCUGACGUGAGUAACGACAAAACGGGUGAAAAACCCGUUCGCCGAAAGACCAAGGGUUCCAGUCCAACGUUAAUCGGGGCUGGGUGAGUCGACCCCUAAGGCGAGGCCGAAAGGCGUAGUCGAUGGGAAAAUGGUUAAUAUUCCAUUACUUCUGUGUAAUGCGAUGAGAGGACGGAGAAGGCUAAAUCAGCCUGGCGUUGGUUGUCCAGGUGAAAGGAUGUAGGCAUGUAUCUUAGGCAAAUCCGGGGUACUCUAUGCUGAGAUCUGAUAGCAAGCUGUACUUGUACAGCGAAGUGGUUGAUGCCAUGCUUCCAGGAAAAGUCUCUAAGCUUCAGUUACACAGGAAUCGUACCCGAAACCGACACAGGUGGUCAGGUCGAGUAGACCAAGGCGCUUGAGAGAACUCUGCUGAAGGAACUAGGCAAAAUGGUACCGUAACUUCGGGAGAAGGUACGCUGUUGUUGGUGAUGGAACUCGCUUCCUGAGCUGACGACAGCCGCAGAAACCAGGCCGCUGCAACUGUUUAUUAAAAACAUAGCACUCUGCAAACACGAAAGUGGACGUAUAGGGUGUGAUGCCUGCCCGGUGCUGGAAGGUUAAUUGAUGGGGUUAGCGUAAGCGAAGCUCUUGAUCGAAGCCCCAGUAAACGGCGGCCGUAACUAUAACGGUCCUAAGGUAGCGAAAUUCCUUGUCGGGUAAGUUCCGACCUGCACGAAUGGCAUAAUGAUGGCGGCGCUGUCUCCAGCAGAGGCUCAGUGAAAUCGAAAUCGCUGUGAAGAUGCAGUGUACCCGCGGCUAGACGGAAAGACCCCGUGAACCUUUACUGCAGCUUGACACUGAACUUUGACCUUACUUGUGUAGGAUAGGUGGGAGGCUUUGAAGCUGGAACGCUAGUUCCAGUGGAGCCGUCCUUGAAAUACCACCCUGGUAAUGUUGAGGUUCUAACUCUGUCCCGUGAUCCGGGACGAGGACCGUGUCUGGUGGGUAGUUUGACUGGGGCGGUCUCCUCCUAAAGAGUAACGGAGGAGUACGAAGGUGCGCUCAGCGUGGUCGGAAAUCACGCGUAGAGUAUAAAGGCAAAAGCGCGCUUAACUGCGAGACCCACAAGUCGAGCAGGUACGAAAGUAGGUCUUAGUGAUCCGGUGGUUCUGUAUGGAAGGGCCAUCGCUCAACGGAUAAAAGGUACUCUGGGGAUAACAGGCUGAUACCGCCCAAGAGUUCAUAUCGACGGCGGUGUUUGGCACCUCGAUGUCGGCUCAUCUCAUCCUGGGGCUGAAGCAGGUCCCAAGGGUAUGGCUGUUCGCCAUUUAAAGAGGUACGCGAGCUGGGUUUAGAACGUCGUGAGACAGUUCGGUCCCUAUCUACCGUGGGCGCUGGAAAUUUGAGAGGAUCUGCUCCUAGUACGAGAGGACCAGAGUGGACGAACCUCUGGUGUACCGGUUGUGACGCCAGUCGCAUCGCCGGGUAGCUAUGUUCGGAAGGGAUAACCGCUGAAAGCAUCUAAGCGGGAAGCCUACCUCAAGAUAAGAUUUCCCUAGGACUUUAUGUCCUCUAAAGAGCCGUUCGAGACUAGGACGUUGAUAGGUUGGAUGUGGAAGCAUAGUGAUAUGUGAAGCUGACCAAUACUAAUUGCUCGUGAGGCUUGACUAUACAACACCCAAGCAGUUG